AAUAAAUAUGACUAUCAAUUAUUAAUUUUGAAAAUAUUUCUUAAUUCAAACUAUAUAUUGUUCAUAUUGAAUUAUAAAACCAAUUAUAAAGUUAUCAUCAUUUAUACUCCAUUGCGAAUAUUUCAGAGUGAAAAGGAUUUGAACGAAUAGUGAUCGUUUUUAAAAUAAGUAAAUAAUUGAAGUUAAUUUGUAAAGUUACACUAAGGCACAAACAUGGAGUUUCGACACGUACCUACAUGUAAAGUAUAUGAAAUUACCAAUACUUUUACCUUUAUGAUUAGCUAUGUUUUAGCAUUUUAACAUUUUUAUCUGUACAUUUUUAUAGGAUUUAGUGCUUGUGCAUAAUAAAACGGACUUAUCUUGCUCGAAAUCCCACUUCCACCUCAUCGUUGGUGAGUAGGGGACCAAGACUAACGGAAUGAGUACUUAUACUUGUAAAUAAUUGAACUAAUUAUAAAUAAAUAAGUAUUAUUACCUGUAUUUUACCUGAGUUUACCUGUCAAAAAAAUGCGCGCAAUUGUAAUCAAAAGCUGCGCGCAAACGUAAUGAUUUUUGCGCGCAAACGUAAUGAUUUUUGCGCGCAAAUGUAAUGGUAAUGCGCGCAAACGUAAUGCACCGC
rnacentral:lncRNA from 1 species